GGGGAAAUAGCUCAGUUGGUUAGAGUGCUGGUCUAUGACGCCAGAAGUCACGGGUUCGAACCCCGUUUUCCCCG
rfam:Sorghum bicolor cultivar BTx623 chromosome 7, whole genome shotgun sequence.